ensembl:lncRNA
CUCUGCAUCACUACCCCUCGCGCGUAACGGUCGUAGCACUAAUAACGACAGAGCUAGCCCAGCCGCUGUUUGAGUAGCUGGCUAACGUUAGAUUUACGACUUAAAUUAAGGUUUUAUUUCGGAUAAUAUUAACCUGCAGUAACAGGGCGAAUGUUAAUUUAUCCUCAAAGGCUGGAAAAACCCAAAGAUGAAGAAAAUGCCAGCUACCCAGGCCAAGCUAUUUAACCCAGGCCAAGCUAUUUAACCCAGGCCAAGCUAUUUAGCCCAAGCCAAGCUAUUUAACCCAGGCCAAGCUAUUUAACCCAAGCCAAGCUAUUUAACCCAAGCCAAGCUAUUUAACCCAAGCCAAGCUAUUUAACCCAGGCCAAGCUGUUUAACCCAUGCCAAACUGUUUAACCCAUGCCAAGCUAUUUAACCUAGGCCAAGCUAUUUAACCCAAGCCAAGCUAUUUAACCCAAGCCAAGAUAUCUAACCUAGGCCAAGCUAUUUAACCCAAGUCAAGCUAUUUAACCUAGGCCAAGCUAUUUAACCCAAGCCAGGCUAUAUAACCUAAAGGCAGAAGAAUGAAGAAGAGCACUCCAGGUGGUGGCAGAGGGCUGCACCCCGGAAACCCAAAUCCAGUCCAGAGCUCCAGUCUGGGAGGAGACAGACCUAACGAGCCAGUUAUUCCUCUCCCACCGCAGAUUGGAAGUCCUCAAAGACUGCAAAGCAGAAUUAGGACAGCGUUGAACACCGCAGAGAGAUACAGAACAGCACUCGGUAACAAACGCGUGGGUGAGUUUAUGUGUUUAUUACUGAUUAAUCUGCUUCAUUUCUCAGAUUCGUUGUUCAGUUUAGUUUAG